rnacentral:rRNA from 1 species
AUUGAACGCUGGCGGCAGGCCUAACACAUGCAAGUCGAGCGGGGUUUUCGGACCUAGCGGCGGACGGGUGAGUAAUGCGUAGGAAGCUACCCGAUAGAGGGGGAUACCAGUUGGAAACGACUGUUAAUACCGCAUAACGUCUACGGACCAAAGUGUGGGACCUUCGGGCCACAUGCUAUCGGAUGCGCCUACGUGGGAUUAGCUAGUUGGUGGGGUAAUGGCUCACCAAGGCGACGAUCCCUAGCUGGUUUGAGAGGAUGAUCAGCCACACUGGAACGGAGACACGGUCCAGACUCCUACGGGAGGCAGCAGUGGGGAAUAUUGGACAAUGGGCGCAAGCCUGAUCCUGCCAUGCCGCGUGUGUGAAGAAGGCCUUCGGGUUGUAAAGCACUUUCAGUAGGGAGGAAGAGUUGAGUGUUAAUAGUACUCAGCUUUGACGUUACCUACAGAAGAAGCACCGGCUAACUCUGUGCCAGCCGCCGCCGUAACAC